rnacentral:lncRNA from 1 species
AACCGCCAACUUUAACGGCGGUAUAUAUAUAGCAGGUCAUUUUAACGUUGACGUUAUUGUAGUUUUACGAUUGUAAACAAACAAUAUGCAGGCGCGUACCGUUGCAUUGAUUCUGCUUGUUUGUAUGGCCGGGGCAUUGAUGGUGGAAAAUGCCGAGGCAUACAAUUACGGCGGAGGACAUUGUCGGUGCCGCAAAUGGUGUUACAAGUAUGAGUACCCACGCGGUCGAUGUGGUUGGACUAAGUAUUGGUGCUGCAGAAGGUGGGGGCCUUAUUACGGCUAACACAAACGCCAGAAUACAGUGGGAUCACUGAUUUUUACAGGCACCUGUUUCAUCACAGUCAGAUUUUGUGGUCUUUUUUGUCACCUUUCUUCACAGAAAUAAAAUUCAUGAAAUAUCUAGA